rnacentral:rRNA from 1 species
ACCCGCUGAAUUUAAGCAUAUAAGUAAGUGGUGGAAAUUAAACCAACUGGGAUCUCUUCAGUAAUUGCGCAUGAACCAGGAUAUGCUUAGCUUGACAAAUGGAGCUGCUGGCUCUGAAUUGUAUUGUGGGAAUGUAUUACCAACAGAGGUGCAGGUCACACUCCUUGGCAUUGGAAUGCAAAGUGGGUGGUAAGUUUCAUGCAAAGGUAAAUAUGCAAUUGAGACUGAUAGCGCACAAGUACCAUGAGGGACAUAUGAAAAGGACUUUGAAAAGAGAAUUAAAUGAGUUUGUAUUUGCUAAACACAAAGUAAACAGACUUGAUUUCCUCAGUGAGAUUGUAGUGCUUGCUUAACAAUGGGUUUUGGCUGCAAGUGCAAUAAUUCUUGCUUUGUGUGCCCGUUUUUAUGUGGACAUUUGAUUACCUUUGCACAUGAAUGGUAAUUUUCCUGCGGGGUGUGGAUUGCAUAUGCAUGUAAUGAUUUGCAUGGUUGUUAAAUGUGUCUGGUGUAUUUGUUUGUGUCCUUGUCCUUGAGGUUGCUUUCUCCCUUGGGCUUACAUGCCCUGGCACACACAUUCUGGCAAAAUGCUUCUGCUUGACCCGUCUUGAAACACGGUCCAAGG